CCCUUAGAUGUUCUGGGCCGCACGCGCGCUACACUGUUCGACGCAGCGAGUCUUAACCUUGACCGAAAGGUUUGGGUAAUCUUCAGCAAAGUCGAACGUGAUGGGGAUCGAUCAUUGCAAUUAUUGAUCGUGAACGAGGAAUUCCUAGUAAGUGCAAGUCAUCAGCUUGCGCUGAUUACGUCCCUGCCCUUUGUACACACCGCCCGUCGCUACUACCGAUUGAAUGGUUUAGUGGGAUCUCUGGAUUGACGCUGGCUAGGGGGCGACCCUUGGCCAGGCUGUCGAGAAACUGCUCAAACUUGAUCAUUUAGAGGAAGUAAAAGUCGUAACA
rnacentral:rRNA from 1 species